rnacentral:lncRNA from 1 species
UGCCACUGCACUCCAGCCUGGGUGACAGAGUGAGACUCUGUCUCAGAAAAGAAUAUAUAUAUAUUAAUACGUUUUGUAAAGCUACAACUUUCGUAAAUAGUGAGUCCUCUGAUGAAUCUGGGCAAAGAAAUUGAAAGCCAUAUGAAAGGAUUUACCAUUCUAGAUGCCAUUAAUAACAUUUGUGGUUCAUGGGAGGAUGUCAGAAUAUCAACAACAAAUAGGAGUUUGGAAGAAGUUUUAUUCCAACCCUCAUGGAGCCCUAGGGGAUUCAAGACUUCAAUAGAGGAAGUAAAUGCAGAUGUGGUGGAAAUAGCAAGAGAGGUAGAGUUAGAAGUGGAGCCUGAAGGUGGGACUGAAUUGCUGCAAUCUCAUGAUCAAACUUGAACAGAUGAGGAGUUGCUUCUUAUGGAUGAGCAAAGAAAGUGGUUUCUUGUGAUGGAACCUUAUCCUUGUGAAGAUGCUGUGUAUGUUGUUGAAAUGACAAGAAUUUAGAAUUUUACACAAACUCAGUUAAUAAAGCAGUGACAAGGUUUGAGGCGACUGACUCCAACUUUGGAAGAAGUUCUACUGUGGCUAAAAUGAUAUCAAACAGCAUCACGUGGUACAGAUAACUCAUUCAUGAAAGGAAGAGUCAAUUGAUGUGGCAAACUUCAUUGGCUUAUUUGAAGAAAUUGCCACAGCCACCCUGGUCUUCAGCAACCACCACCUUGAUUAGGCAGCAGCCACCAACAUCAAGGCAAGAUUCUCCACCAACAAAAAGAUAUAACUUGGUUGGGCGCAGUGGCUCACGCCUGUAAUCCCAGCACUUUGGGAGGCUGAGGCAGGCGGAUCACCUGAGGUCCGGAGUUCCAGACCAGCCUGACCAACC